rnacentral:rRNA from 1 species
AUAGGAAAAGUAAAGGCAUCUUUACUUUUUUAAAAGACCUUCUUUGAAGGUAUGCUUAAGGAGGGGCUUGCGACACAUUAGUUAGUUGGCAGGGUAAAGGCCUACCAAGACUAUGAUGUGUAGCUGGACUGAGAGGUUGAACAGCCACAUUGGGACUGAGACACGGCCCAAACUCCUACGGGAGGCAGCAGUAGGGAAUUUUCGGCAAUGGAGGAAACUCUGACCGAGCAACGCCGCGUGAACGAUGAAGUACCUCGGUAUGUAAAGUUCUUUUAUUAAGGAAGAAAAAAGAGUGGAAAAACUCCCUUGACGGUACUUAAUGAAUAAGCCCCGGCUAAUUACGUGCCAGCAGCCGCGGUAAUACAUAAGGGGCGAGCGUUAUCCGGAAUUAUUGGGCGUAAAGGGUGCGUAGGCGGUUUAAUAAGUCUAUAGUUUAAUUUCAGUGCUUAACGCUGUUGUGCUAUAGAAACUGUUUUACUAGAGUGAGUUAGAGGCAAGCGGAAUUCCAUGUGUAGCGGUAAAAUGCGUAAAUAUAUGGAGGAACACCAGAGGCGUAGGCGGCUUGCUGGGACUUUACUGACGCUGAGGCACGAAAGCGUGGGGAGCAAACAGGAUUAGAUACCCUGGUAGUCCACGCCGUAAACGAUGAGUACUAAGUGUCGGGUAAAACCGGUACUGAAGUUAACACAUUAAGUACUCCGCCUGAGUAGUACGUACGCAAGUAUGAAACUUAAAGGAAUUGACGGGACUCCGCACAAGCGGUGGAUCAUGUUGUUUAAUUCGAAGAUACACGAAAAACCUUACCAGGUCUUGACAUUUUCUUGCGAAGUUAUAGAAAUAUAAUGGAGGUUAUCAGGAAAACAGGUGGUGCAUGGUUGUCGUCAGCUCGUGUCGUGAGAUGUUAGGUUAAGUCCUAAAACGAGCGCAACCCUUGUCGUUAAUUGCCAGCAUGUAAUGAUGGGGACUUUAACGAGACUGCCAAUGAAAAAUUGGAGGAAGGUGGGGAUUACGUCAAAUCAUCAUGCCCCUUAUGAUCUGGGCUACAAACGUGAUACAAUGGUUGAUACAAAGAGUAGCUGAAACGUGAGUUCUUAGCAAAUCUCACAAAAUCAAUCUCAGUUCGGAUUGAAGUCUGCAACUCGACUUCAUGAAGUUGGAAUCGCUAGUAAUCGCGAAUCAGCAUGUCGCGGUGAAUACGUUCU